UUUCCAUUUGCAUGGUUAUAAAAAAAGAAUGUUAAAAAAAAAAAAAAAAAGACCUGCUAAAAAUGUAAUGGAACUUUAUAAAGAUGGAAAAGGAAAUGUAAAGAUAUUCAAAGCCUUGAAAAUGCCAGUCAGUACUGUUCAAUCACUUAUUAAGAAGUGGUCAAUUCACUUUCAGGCCAAGAUCAAUGCACACAUUUGGAAACGU